ACCAUCCACAGUCGCCUCAGUGAGUACACAUCGAUGGCAAGGGAGGUCCAUGGGUCUGAAUACGAUCCGAGCACCGAGGAGCUUGACGCAGAAGUUGUCAUGAGGGUUGGAGGAGGCAAGAAGCAUGGACGCUACUGGAUUUGCGACGGUGCAAUCGACUCAGCCGCUACUCCCUCUCUAUCUCAGAUUCGAGCAAGUAGCACGAGCGCGAGCCCAGCUAUACGACCUCGGCAGGACACUUCACAGCAUCAGAUACAAGCACUCCAGGUUGUUCAUGAUAUAUUCAUCGUUCAUUGAAAUAUUUCUUUUCUAUGCAUUAUUUUAACAUUUGAGUGAAAUAUUGCAGAACCAACUGGUAGAAGAGAGGAGGGAACUCCAGGCCCAACUUGAAGAAGAGAGGAGGCAACGUUUGGAGUUGGAUGCGAGGAUGAGGUCCGAGCAGCAGAGGACGGAGGACAUUCUUCGUUACAUACAGUCCGCAACGGGUGUAGCUCCACCACCUUCGCUAUUCACUCCAAAUCCACCUCCAUCUCAGUUUUCCACUCCUAAUCAAUCGGCGGCAUCGAAUGAUCCUCAUGUUUCACCAACUGAGCCUAAUUGCGUGCGUCGUUUGUGAACUUAUUUGUGAGAUAUGUAUUGUCGGUGAUAUAUUGUGAUCUUUGUGAACUUAUUUGUGAGACAUGUGGACUUAUUUGUGAGACAUGUG